GCCAGGCAUGGUGGCGCGUGCCUGUAGUCCCAGCUACUCGGGAGGCUGAGGCAGAAGAAUUGCUUGAACCCGGGAGGCGGAGGUUGCAGUGAGCCGAGAUCUCAUCACUGCACUCCAGCCUGGGCAACAGAGCAAGACUCCGUCUCAA
ensembl:misc_RNA Metazoa_SRP Metazoan signal recognition particle RNA